rnacentral:rRNA from 1 species
UUAAGCGACUAAGCGUACACGGUGGAUGCCCUGGCAGUCAGAGGCGAUGAAGGACGUGCUAAUCUGCGAUAAGCGUCGGUAAGGUGAUAUGAACCGUUAUAACCGGCGAUUUCCGAAUGGGGAAACCCAGUGUGAUUCGUCACACUAUCAUUAACUGAAUCCAUAGGUUAAUGAGGCGAACCGGGGGAACUGAAACAUCUAAGUACCCCGAGGAAAAGAAAUCAACCGAGAUUCCCCCAGUAGCGGCGAGCGAACGGGGAGGAGCCCAGAGCCUGAAUCAGUGUGUGUGUUAGUGGAAGCGUCUGGAAAGGCGCGCGAUACAGGGUGACAGCCCCGUACACAAAAAUGCACAUACUGUGAGCUCGAUGAGUAGGGCGGGACACGUGGUAUCCUGUCUGAAUAUGGGGGGACCAUCCUCCAAGGCUAAAUACUCCUGACUGACCGAUAGUGAACCAGUACCGUGAGGGAAAGGCGAAAAGAACCCCGGCGAGGGGAGUGAAAAAGAACCUGAAACCGUGUACGUACAAGCAGUGGGAGCACAGAGCAAUCUGUGUGACUGCGUACCUUUUGUAUAAUGGGUCAGCGACUUAUAUUCUGUAGCAAGGUUAACCGAAUAGGGGAGCCGAAGGGAAACCGAGUCUUAACUGGGCGUUAAGUUGCAGGGUAUAGACCCGAAACCCGGUGAUCUAGCCAUGGGCAGGUUGAAGGUUGGGUAACACUAACUGGAGGACCGAACCGACUAAUGUUGAAAAAUUAGCGGAUGACUUGUGGCUGGGGGUGAAAGGCCAAUCAAACCGGGAGAUAGCUGGUUCUCCCCGAAAGCUAUUUAGGUAGCGCCUCGUGAAUUCAUCUCCGGGGGUAGAGCACUGUUUCGGCAAGGGGGUCAUCCCGACUUACCAACCCGAUGCAAACUGCGAAUACCGGAGAAUGUUAUCACGGGAGACACACGGCGGGUGCUAACGUCCGUCGUGAAGAGGGAAACAACCCAGACCGCCAGCUAAGGUCCCAAAGUCAUGGUUAAGUGGGAAACGAUGUGGGAAGGCCCAGACAGCCAGGAUGUUGGCUUAGAAGCAGCCAUCAUUUAAAGAAAGCGUAAUAGCUCACUGGUCGAGUCGGCCUGCGCGGAAGAUGUAACGGGGCUAAACCAUGCACCGAAGCUGCGGCAGCGACGCUGAUGCGUUGUUGGGUAGGGGAGCGUUCUGUAAGCCUGUGAAGGUGUGCUGUGAGGCAUGCUGGAGGUAUCAGAAGUGCGAAUGCUGACAUAAGUAACGAUAAAGCGGGUGAAAAGCCCGCUCGCCGGAAGACCAAGGGUUCCUGUCCAACGUUAAUCGGGGCAGGGUGAGUCGACCCCUAAGGCGAGGCCGAAAGGCGUAGUCGAUGGGAAACAGGUUAAUAUUCCUGUACUUGGUGUUACUGCGAAGGGGGGACGGAGAAGGCUAUGUUGGCCGGGCGACGGUUGUCCCGGUUUAAGCGUGUAGGCUGGUUUUCCAGGCAAAUCCGGAAAAUCAAGGCUGAGGCGUGAUGACGAGGCACUACGGUGCUGAAGCAACAAAUGCCCUGCUUCCAGGAAAAGCCUCUAAGCAUCAGGUAACAUCAAAUCGUACCCCAAACCGACACAGGUGGUCAGGUAGAGAAUACCAAGGCGCUUGAGAGAACUCGGGUGAAGGAACUAGGCAAAAUGGUGCCGUAACUUCGGGAGAAGGCACGCUGAUAUGUAGGUGAAGUCCCUCGCGGAUGGAGCUGAAAUCAGUCGAAGAUACCAGCUGGCUGCAACUGUUUAUUAAAAACACAGCACUGUGCAAACACGAAAGUGGACGUAUACGGUGUGACGCCUGCCCGGUGCCGGAAGGUUAAUUGAUGGGGUCAGCGCAAGCGAAGCUCUUGAUCGAAGCCCCGGUAAACGGCGGCCGUAACUAUAACGGUCCUAAGGUAGCGAAAUUCCUUGUCGGGU